rnacentral:rRNA from 1 species
GGUACUUGUAUCAGAAUGAAGAGUAGCGAACGGGUGAGUAACGCGUGGGUAACCUACCUCUUAGCGGGGGACAACUAUUGGAAACGAUAGCUAAUACCGCAUAACAAUAUUAAACACAUGUUUAACAUUUGAAAGUACCAAUUGGUACACUAGGAGAUGGACCCGCGUUGUAUUAGCUAGUUGGUAGUGUAAUGGACUACCAAGGCGAUGAUACAUAGCCGACCUGAGAGGGUGAUCGGCCACAUUGGGACUGAGACACGGCCCAAACUCCUACGGGAGGCAGCAGUAGGGAAUCUUCGGCAAUGGACGAAAGUCUGACCGAGCAACGCCGCGUGAGUGAAGAAGGUUUUCGGAUCGUAAAACUCUGUUGUUAGAGAAGAACGUUGUGUAGAGUGGAAAAUUACACAAGUGACGGUAUCUAACCAGAAAGGGACGGCUAACAACGUGCCAGCAGCCGCGGUAAUACGUAGGUCCCGAGCGUUGUCCGGAUUUAUUGGGCGUAAAGCGAGCGCAGGUGGUUUAAUAAGUCUGAUGUAAAAGGCAGUGGCUCAACCAUUGUGUGCAUUGGAAACUGUUAGACUUGAGUGCAGUAGAGGAGAGUGGAAUUCCAUGUGUAGCGGUGAAAUGCGUAGAUAUAUGGAGGAACACCGGUGGCGAAAGCGGCUCUCUGGACUGUAACUGACACUGAGGCUCGAAAGCGUGGGUAGCAAACAGGAUUAGAUACCCUGGUAGUCCACGCCGUAAACGAUGAGU